CAUGGGCGCCCGCCCACCGGAGGAGCGACUGGAGUUGAUCGGCUGGGCGCUCAGGUAGCGAAGAUAAAUGUAAUCUUGUGGCAGGAAAUCGACAUUCUCUGCACUAUCUUUAGUUUUCCAACUGAACUUCUGAGAAAUGGAGGCUACAAUACCUAGUUUGCCAAACAGGAGAAGACUACAAUUCCCAGAAGGAACUGCGACCAACAUUGGUCCGUGCUCAUACUUUGCAUCAUGGGACUUGUAGUCAUCACCAGCUUGCGCUGAUUCUAACAGAACCUGGACAACUACCCUCAAUUGGUAACAUAUUUUGGUGAGCCAGCCAGAAGGAUCAAGUCUGUGAUACCUGAAGCCUCAGACCUGGAACCUGAAGUUUCCUUCAGCCACUACACCUGUGAACCUGUGGAAGACCUGAAGUGCCUGUUUAGAAGACAGCCAAAAGAGCCAAUAUCAUACUGAAUGGGCAAAAACUGAAGCAUUCCCUUUGAAAACUGGCACAAGACAAGGAUGCUCUCUCUCACCACUCCUAUUCAACAUAGUGUUGGAAAUUCUGGCCAGGGCAAUCAGAAAUUACAAUUUGGGGACAGGAGGAGAGAUACAGGUGGGAAGUCACAGGAACUAAAGUCAAACUAAAGGAAAAUCUGUGGCGAGAAGGUCCAUGAAGUUCUACUGCUAAGGUCCCUGAAGUUGAUCUGGUUCCUCCCGCUUCUGGACUUUUCCUUGGACUCCAUGAGAUAAUCUAAUGUUCUUUCAAUAGUUUCACUCUUGUUGCCCAGGCUGGAGUGCAAUGGUGUGAUUUCAGCUUACUGAAACCUCCACCUCCUAGGUUCAAGAGAUUCUCCUGCCUCAGCUUCCCGAGUAGCUGGAAUUACAGCUUCAGAUCCAAAUGGUAUGCUAGCAUUCUCUUCCUAGCAGUCCACUGUCAAGACUUCACUGUUAGAAGAAGAAUCACACCAGAAUUAAGGUCAAAUGGAUUAUCUUAUUCUUAAUUGCUGAAAAUCACACCUCAUUGAAAUUUGCUUCAUAACUGAACCAUGAAUUUUUCAUCAAACAUACUUUUGUGUUUCUCCUCCUGGCAUUCUUUAUGAGGAACUUCUUUUUGGAGCUCACUGACUUCCUGUUCUAAUUUGGUCCAGUUAUUUUCUAGAAUUGCUACAUGACUGUCAUCCUGGGACAUCCUUCUGUUGGAAUCUGGGAGAGCUUACAACUUUUCAUAUCCUCUCUUCUUCUUUGUGUUUUUCACCCUGAAGUGUACAAAGUCAAAUGAAUUUCCUAGAAAAAC
rnacentral:lncRNA from 1 species